rnacentral:lncRNA from 1 species
UGAGAGAGCUGGGGGUGUUCAACCUGGAGAAGAGAGAGCUCUGAGAACUGAGAGGCCCUUCCAGGGCCUAAAGGGCCUAAAGAGCUGGAGAGGGACUUGGGACAAAGGCCUAGAAUGGUAGGAGAAGGGGGAAUGCCUUCACACUGACAGAGGACACUGCUAGAUUGGAUAUUGGGAGGAAAUUCUUCCCUGUGAGGGUGGGGAGGCCCUGGCACAGGUUGCCCAGAGAAUCUGUGGACUCCCUGUCCCUGGAAGUGCUCAAGGCCAGGUUGGAUGGGGCCUGGAGCAACCUGUUCCAGUGGAAGGUGUCCCUGCCCAUGGCAGUGGGUUGGGACAACAUGAACUUUAAGGUCUCUUCCAACCCAAACCAUCCUGUGUCUCCAUGGUUCCUGCCCACUUGCUGUUUCCCAGGCUCUGCACAGGACAUCCCUGCAGCCUCCCCAAGCACCUGCAAGCAGCCAGACAGGUGCCGCGCUCCCAGCCCUGAUGGCAGGGCUCCAGCUGCUGCCUCAAGGCCACCCAUGGUCAGAGGAAGAGCCCAAACCCACGGCCACCGAGAGAGACGGGCCAAGAGGAGGGGCAGGAGACAGGCCAGCGGUGACAGGGAGACGGGCGUCUGCCCCAUCUGCUCAGGCCGCUUCCUCCUGGAUGUGCUCCCCACGCACGCCUCCCACUGCGGGGAAGAGCCCACUGCAGCCUGGCCCUCCUUGUCCCCUGACACCUGGGUGUCCUGUCCCAUUUGCCAGCUGCCUUUCAGCAUGGCAGAGGUGGAGCAGCAUGCCAGCACCUGUGGUGAGAUGCUGUCCUCAUCCCACCACCUGCAGUAGGACAGCGGAGCUGGGGACAAACCCUGUGUCACCACCCCCCGGGGGCUGAAGCCACAGUGCUGGACCCAGCUGUGGUGCAAGGAGCGAGGGGGCAGAGACGCAGCAGCCCCAGGACGUUUGUGGCAAGACUGGUGGGGCGGAUGGAGAAGGUGUUUCCAGCCCCUUGGCCGGGUUUGGGGGGCGGUGGCUUAAGGGGCCUGAAACACUGUAAUGGCAGGAGUUGCUGCUGGAGAAGAAUAAAUUAAAGGAAAGAAGGAGGGGAGAGAGAAAU